CUGGGAUUUGCCUCCAGUCACAUGUGACAACAGGGGGAUGGCUAUUGAAUAACUGUCCUCCAUGUGUCCUUGGAGACCUUCCGACAAGUCAAACAGUUACGAAGGGGUUUAAAGGGGCACUGAUCUGGCCUCUGCUAACGGAGAGGAACGACACGAUUCCUUCUCUUUCCAAAGAGCAUCUGGAUUUGCAGUGCCCCAGGGUAAGUGUCUCAUGCUUGCUCAGUCAAAUCCUUCUCCUAACACACAGAGUUAGAGAUUGGGUUUAUUUUCUUACUCUCAGGCCUCCAUUGCUUUAAGUUUUUAUAACAAAACAUACCUACGCAAACAUAUUUUUAAGACAUUAUGCUACUUGCUCCCUUAAAAGGAGCUAAACCAAUAGAAAAACGGUAUCUUGUAGGACUCUUCUGCUACACAUGCAAAACCUGCCAGUUCUUGUAUGUUCUGUUUUUUGGCUUUCACUGGGGCUCGCUUUCAACUACAAUCUGUCCAGAUGCGGUCCUUGGAGAACUAAACUGGCCCACACAGGAUGAGGAUGAAGACAGUGAUGUCUCUAUUGGAGGAUUCCUGUAGGAUCACAGGAUUCCAUGCGCACUUUUAUUGAGAUGGGUAAAACAACGUCUUCAAGCUUUGUUUACUGAAGUUUGUACUCUAAUUAUUAUAACGAAGGCUGCGCUUCCUCUGUUUUUAUGUUUACCGUGGUUUUCAGCUACAGUAACAUCCAAGGCGUUAAUUUUCAAGUAACAUUAUUGUGUUUAACUAUUAACUGAAAGCAAUUAUAAUAAAAGAAUUUUUCUUGUUUAACUCUCCCCAUUCCUUGGGAACUUGUGCAGUUCUGGAGUUGGAUGGAUGUGCUUCCUAAUAUGCCUGGAUGUGACCGUGGUUUAGAGCAACUUCCCAAGCUCUCCACAUGCCUUUCACAGCUGAAACUUCCAAGACAUUACAAAGAGUACUGUCCGUUUUGAAAGGGCAUUCUUGCUCUAUUUGGAGCACUGAAAACUGGGUUCGGAAAAUGGGGGGGGGGUUUUUUUUCUGAAGAGGACAGACACCCCUUAGUACUUGUGUAGGAUGUGUUGGUCUUUUGUUUGGCGGCCAAAAAUGUAUGUUUUUCAGAGAG